CUUGAAGAGCAUCAUGUAUUAAGCCACAUUUGGAGUACAUGUGGAGUAGAUUGUUGAGUAAGAAAAGGGAAGUGUCUAAACCAGAGAGAAUGAGUUGAGCAUGAAGUUUGCGAGCAAUGUGUGGGGAUUUAUGGGAGAAGCUACAAUGCUUGAAUGCAUCGUACAACUUUUGAGAUAUUUGCAUGUAAGACAUUGUUGGUUGCAAAAUCAGUGCAUCAUUUGAGAUGUUAUGGAUUUUCUCUGUUGCGGGUUUUCUCUUCUCAGUGAAUGCGGGUGCUCUAAGUUAUCUUAUCAACUUCCUG
rnacentral:lncRNA from 1 species